AGUACUGCUGAAAGGGUUAAUCAGGGUCCCUCCCCACUCUCACUGGGAUGCAGUACUGCUGAAAGGGUUAAUCGGGGUCCCUCCCCACUCUCACUGGGAUGCAAUACUGCUGAAAGGGUUAAUCGGGGUCCCUCCCCCACUCUCACUGGGAUGCAGUACUGCUGAAAGGGUUAAUCGGGGUCCCUCCCCCACUCACACUGGGAUGCAGUACUGCUGAAAGGGGUUAAUCAGGGUCCCUCCCCACUCUCACUGGGAUGCAGUACUGCUGAAAGGGUUAAUCGGGGUCCCUCCCCACUCUCACUGGGAUGCAGUACUGCUGAAAGGGUUAAUCGGGGUCCCUCCCCACUCUCACUGGGAUGCAGUAGUGCUGAAAGGGUUAAUCAAUCCCAUUAGGAGAGUCACUCUUUCCAUUCUUCUCUGGCUAGGUUGGUUGCACAAUCACAAUGGGGGGGGGGGGGAACAAAUAUUAACUAUUUCCUGUAAAGUGAAAGUGUUGUCCCCCAGUGGGUAUCCGGUCACUAGUGAGUGUGAGGGGCAGUCUGAUCCCCCCCCCCUGGGUUCUAACCUGGUGGCACCCACAUAUGGCUCCCAUGUGUCACUGCACCCCUCAUUGCUUCCUGUAUCCCGGGGGGCACAGUGGGUAACUGGGUGGGGGUUGGCACAGACGGGAGAAUAUUUCUGUGCCCUGGGGUUGGUCCCAGUUGGCAGUGGCAUUGAGGAAUGUGCCCGCUGAGGCAGUGUUUGAGCCCUGGCACCUGGGGGGCACACUGGGGGAGGGGCAGCACGGGCCCCUGUAUAGAUUGUCCCCAUCUUGGCAAGUGGGGGCCCUGCAGGGCUACUGGGACUAGUGAUGCUGGGCAGAUUGGGGUGGGAAAGGGAGAUAUUGGCAAAUGCAUAUUGUAAUUCUGCAGGCUCCCUGUGGUGCCAAUGUGCCGGGGGUACCUGUGCCCCCCCCCGUAUCCAUGCAGCAGGACUUCCUGUUGUGAGCAGAGUGAUGUGGGUGGGGCCCAGCCGUGACUCACAAGUGACCUGCACUCAGUACACACCUGCCUGGGAAGCCAGAAACGUCCCCUGGGGCAGUGGGUGCUGCCAUUAUCUGCCCUACAGAUCCCCUGGGGCAGUGGGUGCUGCCAUUAUCUGCCCUACAGAUCCCCUGGGGCACUGGGUGCUGCCAUUAUCUGCCCUACAGAUCCCCUGGGGCAGUGGGUGCUGCCAUUAUCUGCCCUACAGAUCCCCUGGGGCAGUGGGUGCUGCCAUUAUCUGCCCUACAGAUCCCCUGGGGCACUGGGUGCUGCCAUUAUCUGCCCUACAGAUCCCCUGGGGCAGUGGGUGCUGCCAUUAUCUGCCCUACAGAUCCCCUGGGGCACUGGGUGCUGCCAUUAUCUGCCCUACAGAUCCCCUGGGGCACUGGGUGCUGCCAUUAUAUGCCCUUCAGAUCCCCUGGGGCACUGGGUGCUGCCAUUAUCUGCCCCGCAGCACGUGCUGAGAUCCCCUGGGGCACUGGGUGCUGCCAUUAUCUGCCCCGCAGCACGUGCUGAGAUCCCCUGGGGCAGUGGGUGCUGCCAUUAUCUGCCCUACAGAUCCCCUGGGGCACUGGGUGCUGCCAUUAUCUGCCCUACAGAUCCCCUGGGGCACUGGGUGCUGCCAUUAUCUGCCCUGAGAUCCCCUGGGGCUUCUCCUUUCCUCUCCGGGGGCAGAUGCCAUGCUGAUGCC